rnacentral:rRNA from 1 species
GGAUGAACGCUGGCGGCGUGCCUAAUACAUGCAAGUCGAGCGAACAGACGAGGAGCUUGCUCCUCUGACGUUAGCGGCGGACGGGUGAGUAACACGUGGAUAACCUACCUAUAAGACUGGGAUAACUUCGGGAAACCGGAGCUAAUACCGGAUAAUAUAUAGAACCGCAUGGUUCAAUAGUGAAAGACGGUUUUGCUGUCACUUAUAGAUGGAUCCGCGCCGCAUUAGCUAGUUGGUAAGGUAACGGCUUACCAAGGCAACGAUGCGUAGCCGACCUGAGAGGGUGAUCGGCCACACUGGAACUGAGACACGGUCCAGACUCCUACGGGAGGCAGCAGUAGGGAAUCUUCCGCAAUGGGCGAAAGCCUGACGGAGCAACGCCGCGUGAGUGAUGAAGGUCUUCGGAUCGUAAAACUCUGUUAUUAGGGAAGAACAAAUGUGUAAGUAACUAUGCACGUCUUGACGGUACCUAAUCAGAAAGCCACGGCUAACUACGUG